GAUGAAGAACGCAGCGAAAUGCGAUAACUAAUGUGAAUUGCAGAAUUCAGUGAAUCAUCGAGUCUUUGAACGCACAUUGCGCCCCCUGGUAUUCCGGGGGGCAUGCCUGUCCGAGCGUCAUUGCUGCCCUCAAGCACGACUUGUGUGUUGGGCUCCGUCCCCCCGGGGACGGGCCCGAAAGGCAGCGGCGGCACCGAGUCCGGUCCUCGAGCGUAUGGGGCUUUGUCACCCGCUCUGUAGGCCCGGCCGGCGCCAGCCGACAACCCAUCAUCCUUUUCAGGUUGACCUCGGAUCAGGUAGGGAUACCCGCUGAACUUAAGCAUAUCAAUAAGCGGAGGA
rnacentral:misc_RNA from 1 species